rnacentral:misc_RNA from 1 species
GAUGAAGAACGCAGCGAAAUGCGAUAAGUAAUGUGAAUUGCAGAAUUCAGUGAACCAUCGAAUCUUUGAACGCACAUUGCGCCCGGCAGUAAUCUGCCGGGCAUGCCUGUCCGAGCGUCAUUUCUGCCCUCGAGCGAGUCCAGCAUCUAGGUGCUGGGCCCGCCCGGCGUUGGGGCACUACGGGAAGCCCUGUGCUGUCCCCCGUAGGCCCCGAAAUGAAGUGGCGGUCCUGCCGCGGCGCCCCCUGCGUAGUAUAACAGCUCGCUUCGGGGCCCGGUGGAGGCCUGCCGUCAAACCUUACUCUCUAAGUUUGACCUCGGAUCAGGUAGGGUUACCCGCUGAACUUAAGCAUAUCAAUAAGCGGAGGA